GACUAUGGCGACAAACUGCUUGCUUUGACCAAAGUAUGGCACAAUAAAUGCGUUGUUAUCACUGGAGUGACUCAGGCUCAAAUAGACGAAUUGAAAAAUGGACAGUUUGGUGACAACGAGAAUGCGAAGAGAUACAUAUUAUGCCUGUGGAUGUUUUCGGAUGUGCUUAGACCUGACUUCACCAUAAACAUUCCAUUAUUGAAGGAAGUGAUGCCAAAAAAACUGGUCGGACUAACACAAAAGUACCUGGAAUGUUUGAACGAUACAACUUCUGCUGGUACUGAACCGUAUGAAAAAACUUUUGGAAUAGCGAAAUGUAUCUACAAUGCAAAUCCUGAAGAUUUCCUCAUGUUCUGAAUUACCAACAAUGGAGAACUGGAUUCGUCAAAGUUGAUAACUGUCAUUUACUCUGGAUGAUUUUUCUGAAUUCAUUCAAUAAACGAUUCUCCUAAUUGA